rnacentral:rRNA from 1 species
AACGAACGCUGGCGGCAUGCCUAACACAUGCAAGUCGAACGAGACCUUCGGGCUUAGUGGCGCACGGGUGGGUGACGCGUGGGGACCUGCCCUUAGGUUCGGAAUAACUCCCCGAAAGGGGUGCUAAUACCGGAUAAUGUCUUCCGACCAAAGAUUUAUCGCCUUUGGGUGGGCCUGCGAGGGUUUAGCUAGUUGGUAGGGUAAAAGCAUACCAAGGGGUCGAUGCAGAGCUGGUAGGAGAGGAUGAUCAGCAAGACUGGGACAGAGACAAGGCCCAGACGCCGGCGGGAGGCAGCAGUGGGGAAUAAUGGAGAAGGGGCGAGAGCCUGAUCCAGCAAGGCCGGGAGAGUGAUGAAGGCGUUAGGGUGGGAAAGCGCUUUUACCCGGGAUGAUAAUGACAGAACGGGGAGAAUAAGACCCGCUAAACUCCGU